UACGGGAGGCAGCAGUGGGGAAUAUUGCACAAUGGGCGAAAGCCUGAUGCAGCUAUGCCGCGUGUAUGAAGAAGGCCUUAGGGUUGUAAAGUACUUUCAUCGGGGAGGAAAAAACAAAACUAAUAAUUUUAUUUCUUGACGUUACCCGAAAAAGAAGCACCGGCUAACUCCGUGCCAGCAGCCGCGGUAAUACGGAGGGUGCUAGCGUUAAUCAGAAUUACUGGGCGUAAAGAGCACGUAGGUGGUUUUUUUAAGUCAGAUGUGAAAUCCCCUGGGCUUAACCUAGGAACUGCAUUUUGAAACUGAAAUACUAGAGUAUCGUAGAGGGAGGUAGAAUUCUAGGUGUAGCGGUGAAAUGCGUAGAUAUCUGGAGGAAUACCUGUGGCGAAAGCGGCCUCCUAAACGAAUACUGACACUGAGGGUGCGAAAGCGUGGGGAGCAAACAGGGAUUAGAUACC
rnacentral:rRNA from 1 species